GGGAAUAUAGCUCAGGGGUAGAGCGCUUACUUAGCAUGGGAGAGGGCUGGGGUUCAAAUCCCCAUAUCUCCA
rnacentral:tRNA from 1 species